rnacentral:rRNA from 1 species
UGGGGAAUAUUGGACAAUGGGGGCAACCCUGAUCCAGCGAUGCCGCGUGAGUGAAGAAGGCCUUCGGGUCGUAAAGCUCUUUAGGUUGGGAAGAAGGUGUAUUGGGGAAAUACAGUACAUUUGACGGUACCGACAGAAUAAGCACCGGCAAACUCUGUGCCAGCAGCCGCGGUAAUACAGAGGGUGCGAGCGUUAAUCGGAUUUACUGGGCGUAAAGGGCGCGUAGGUGGUUAAUUAAGUGAGAUGUGAAAGCCCCGGGCUUAACCUGGGAAGUGCAUUUUAAACUGAUUGACUGGAGUACGAGAGAGGGUGGUGGAAUUUCCGGUGUAGCGGUGAAAUGCGUAGAGAUCGGAAAGAACGUCAAUGGCGAAGGCAGCCACCUGGCUCGAUACUGACACUGAGGCGCGAAAGCGUGGGGAGCGAACAGGAUUAGAUACCCCCGUAGUCC